GGGGUUGUAUGGAGUGGCGAACGGGUGAGUAACACGUGAGUAACCUGCCCCUUCUUGGGAUAACGUGCGGAAACGUGCGCUAAUACUGGGUAUUCUUUCUCUGCUGCAUGGUGGGUUGGAAAGGUUUUCCGGUGGGGGAUGGGCUCGCGGCCUAUCAGCUUGUUGGUGGGGUGAUGGCCUACCAAGGCGUGGACGGGUAGCCGGCCUGAGAGGGUGUUCGGUCACACUGGGACUGAGAUACGGCCCAGACUCCUACGGGAGGCAGCAGUGGGAAUUUUGCACAAUGGACGAAAGUCUGAUGCAGUGACGCCGCGUGGGGGAUGACGGCCUUCGGGUUGUAAACCUCUUUCGCUAUUGACGAAGCCGGUUUUGGAUCGGUGACGGUAGAUGGAGAAGAAGCACCGGCCAACUACGUGCCAGCAGCCGCGGUAAYACGUAGGGUGCRAGCGUUGUCCGGAAUCAUUGGGCGUAAAGAGCUCGUAGGCGGCUUAGUAAGCGGGUGUGAAAACCCCAGGCUCAACCUGGGGACGCCACCCGAUACUGCUAUAGCUAGAGUCCAGUAGGGGAGUGUGGAAUUCCCAGUGUAGCGGUGAAAUGCGCAGAUAUUGGGAGGAACACCAGCGGCGAAGGCGGCACUCUGGGCUGGUACUGACGCUGAGGAGCGAAAGCGUGGGUAGCGAACAGGAUUAGAUACCCUGGUAGUCCACGCCGUAAACGUUGGGCACUAGGUGUGGGGCCUAUUCAACGGGUUCCGUGCCGUAGCUAACGCAUUAAGUGCCCCGCCUGGGGAGUACGGCCGCAAGGCUA
rnacentral:rRNA from 1 species